rnacentral:tRNA from 1 species
GGUCUUCAUAGCUCAGUUGGUGGAGCACUGCAACGCUAACCAUGGGUUCGAAUCCCGUCGAAGCCC